rnacentral:rRNA from 1 species
UACGGAGGGGGCUAGCGUUGUUCGGAAUUACUGGGCGUAAAGCGCACGUAGGCGGCUUUGUAAGUUAGAGGUGAAAGCCCGGGGCUCAACCCCGGAAUUGCCUUUAAGACUGCAUCGCUUGAACGUCGGAGAGGUGAGUGGAAUUCCGAGUGUAGAGGUGAAAUUCGUAGAUAUUCGGAAGAACACCAGUGGCGAAGGCGGCUCACUGGACGACUGUGACGCUGAGGUGCGAAAGCGUGGGGAGCAAACAGG